CAGUCGCCGCGGUAAAACGAAGGGUGCAAGCGUUAAUCGGAAUUACUGGGCGUAAAGCGCGCGUAGGUGGUUUGGUAAGAUGGAUGUGAAAUCCCCGGGCUCAACCUGGGAACUGCAUCCAUAACUGCCUGACUAGAGUACGGUAGAGGGUGGUGGAAUUUCCUGUGUAGCGGUGAAAUGCGUAGAUAUAGGAAGGAACACCAGUGGCGAAGGCGACCACCUGGACUGAUACUGACACUGAGGUGCGAAAGCGUGGGGAGCAAACAGGAUUAGAUACCCCCGUAGUCCCUGUCUCUUAAAC
rnacentral:rRNA from 1 species